UAGGGAAUCUUCCGCAAUGGACGCAAGUCUGACGGAGCAACGCCGCGUGAGUGAAGAAGGAUUUCGGUUCGUAAAACUCUGUUGUUAGAGAAGAACAGCGCAUAGAGUAACUGUUAUGCGUGUGACGGUAUCUAACCAGAAAGCCACGGCUAACUACGUGCCAGCAGCCGCGGUAAUACGUAGGUGGCAAGCGUUGUCCGGAUUUAUUGGGCGUAAAGCGAGCGCAGGCGGUCAAUUAAGUCUGAUGUGAAAGCCCCCGGCUCAACCGGGGAGGGUCAUUGGAAACUGGUUGACUUGAGUGCAGAAGAGGAGAGUGGAAUUCCAUGUGUAGCGGUGAAAUGCGUAGAUAUAUGGAGGAACACCAGUGGCGAAGGCGACUGUCUGGUCUGUAACUGACGCUGAGGCUCGAAAGCGUGGGUAGCAAACAGG
rnacentral:rRNA from 1 species